CAGAGAACCUCGGAUCUCAGAUACUUGGAAUGAAAGAAUUGGUGGAUGAAGCUGUUUGCUAGGAUCCUUUGAAAACUGUACUACAGCUGAUAAUAAUGGCUUGGUAUCCGCCUCGCUGUAAAAAAUAUUUUCAGUCAAAAGGACCAGAAAGAACAAACGUUUGUUGGAAAUCAUUGAGUAAGAAAAUUUUCACAGAAGCUAUAUUCAAUAUAUUUGAAACCGUGGCUAGCGAUGAUAUACUUUUUCCACUUAUACCUUCGAGACAUAGCUCAAGGUAGACAGGAUCUAUACGCCAGAAAUCAAAAUACGGCAUCGUACUCUUCUACUGUGACUGGAGGAAGUUCAUCAAUGGUUGGCUCUAUAAAAAAUAAAACAGUCUUCCGUUAAGCAUCGUACAUCAAGAUUGAUACUUUAAGCUAGUCCAUUAUUACCUGGUUUGAGUACUAC